GAUUCUUUAAGUGGCUAACCACUCAUUCAUGACAUCAUAAAGACGACUGGAAAGAGGGCCAGGAGUGGCAGAGAGACAACAAGGUGAUAUGGUGGCUGGCUCUGGAUUCCAGAAAUUGUCAAUUCCUGUCUUUCUUGAGCUGCACUGAUGCUUUGACAUAAACUACUCGAUAACCCAUGAAGUGGCAAUAGAUUUCCCAGAAGAAAUUAAAUGCACUUUUCCCUUUUGGCAUUCUUGACAAGAAAUCCAUUUGCUUGCUUUUAUGAGAGAUGAAGUCCUUGAAUGGAAUGAGCACAGUUCAUCAUUCUGUUCCCCACUGAACUCAUGAUCUUGAAGAAUAUUCGGUCACAAUGACAAAUCCCACAUGGUUUUAUUUCUGGGAAAUGGGAUUGUCUAGGAGAAGAUACCACAUGCAAAGUGGAUGGGAAACCUGAAUGCAGGGAAGCCUGUGCUGCUGACAGUUCAGGUGUCCACAACAUAAGAAGGACAUGCAACUGUUGGAGCAAUUCCAGAGGAGGCCAUGAAGUUGAUAGUAGGACUGGACCACUAUGAAGACAGGC